rnacentral:rRNA from 1 species
CGAAGAACCUUACCUACCCUUGACAUCCAGAGGAUUUUCCAGAGAUGGAUUAGUGCCUUCGGGAACUCUGAGACAGGUGCUGCAUGGCUGUCGUCAGCUCGUGUUGUGAAAUGUUGGGUUAAGUCCCGUAACGAGCGCAACCCCUAUCCUUAUUUGCCAGCGAUUCGGUCGGGAACUCUAAGGAGACUGCCGGUGACAAACCGGAGGAAGGUGGGGAUGACGUCAAGUCAUCAUGGCCCUUACGGGUAGGGCUACACACGUGCUACAAUGGGGAGUACAGAGGGACGCAAAGCGGCGACGUGAAGCCAAUCCCAAAAAGCUCUCCUCAGUCCGGAUUGGAGUCUGCAACUCGACUUCAUGAAGUCGGAAUCGCUAGUAAUCGCGAAUCAGAAUGUCGCGGUGAAUACGUUCCCGGGCCUUGUACACACCGCCCGUCACACCAUGGGAGUGGAUUGCACCAGAAGUGGCUAGUUUAACCUUCGGGGGAACGGUUACCACGGUGUGGUUCAUGACUGGGGUGAAGUCGUAACAAGGUAAGCGUAGCGAG